UGCCCUCAAGUGGAGGAUUGUGACCAAGAAGCAGAUGAUGCAAAGCCACCAAUUGUUGCAAACUAUCCAACAAACCCAUUCCCUCACAACCACAGUCAAGCAGGGGACAGUGUCUGUGGUACAUCAGCACCACCUGAGGUUAAUUUUAGCCCUUGCUUCUCAGCAGUUCAAACUGGAAAAGUCUGCACAGUCAUCUCCUUCCACAAUGAAACUGAACUUUCUGGGGGAGACUACAGUGAUGGACAGCUUACUUCUCCCAUCAGAACAGCAGCAUCAGCACACUCAGAGCUGGAGCCAAAGACAGUCCAGAACUGCCCGAUUUAUCCCUCACUUGCAAAUCGCAACAGAGUUCUCUUUCCCCCACCAGCACCUAAGAAGCAUGCAUCUCACCAAGAAAAUGGCACUUGUACGAACAGUGCGUCGCCAUUACAACCACUGCUACUUACAGGAACUCUCCCAUAUAAUGCACAAGAAUUAGUGCUCAAAGUAAGAGUUCAAAAUACUAAAGAGAAUGACUUCAUUGAAAUUGAACUGGAUAGACAAGGCUUGACUUACCAGGAUCUACUCAGAGUGAGCUGCUGUGAACUGGGCAUUAACCCUCAGCAAGUGGAGAAGAUUAGAAAGCUACCAAAUACACUGAUAAGAAAGGACAAAGAUGUUGCCAGGCUUCAGGAUUUUCAAGAGCUGGAGCUGGUUUUAGACAGAAGCAUCACUUCUCCUUUCAAAAAUACUGCAGCAGCAACACUGAUGGAAAGACCGUGCUAUAACACUAAAGCAGCAAAACUGACAUACUGAAGCUGAAGAUUUAAAGUGGAAAAAUAUGUACAAAAUUGUUUCUAGGGUCAAUAGAAUAUAUUUGUGAACAUUUUUAUGCAUAGAUGUUUUUACUUCAGAGACAUUUCAGACAUUGAUCAUUAUAAGUAUUUUAGGGGAACUGUGCUUCUGUACACUAAAGCACUUUAGAACCACAUACCAAGAUGAACUUUUUCAUCUUGGCAUGUGGUCACCAAGAUGAAAAAGCACAAAUAGAAAAAAAUAUUUUCUGGGGGAAAGAACUAUGGCUGUUUUCUCAAUAAGUACCUCCCCUCCUCCCCCAGUCAACUAGAAUAUGACUCCUAAUGAUUUGUAAAGAAAUAUGAUCAUCCAGAGAUUAAGUGCACUAUGUCACAUAUUAAUGGUCAUAGAAAUACUAGUGUUACAGCAGUUAUUGUCCUCUUUAUAACAGUAAUGUAGGUACUUUCUCUGUUAAAAGGAAAGAGAAGUUACUUGAGAAUGAAGGGAAUGUCUUUAAAGAGAACAGAAACUUUAGAACCCUUCCCUUGCAUUACAAUCUUUGUUCCAAAAAUCUGCAAUAUGAUACUGUAGAACAUCUUAUUUUUACCUUUUCAUAUCACAGCCAGCUGUGUGGGCCAAUAGUAGAAUGUCAAUUAUUUACAGAUACAGUGGUGCUCCGCAUAGCGAGGUUAAUCCGUUCCGGAUUAACCCUCGCUAUGCGGAAUC